UACGGGGGGGGCAAGCGUUGUUCGGAAUUACUGGGCGUAAAGGGCGCGUAGGCGGCUCAUCAAGUCGGGCGUGAAAUCUCCGGGCUUAACCUGGAAAAGUCGUUCGAUACUGUUGGGCUAGAGUGUGGAAGAGGCUACUGGAAUUCCGUGUGUAGCGGUGAAAUGCGUAGAUAUACGGAGGAACACCUGCGGCGAAGGCGGGUUGCUGGGCUGACACUGACGCUGAGGCGCGAAAGCUAGGGGAGCGAACGGG
rnacentral:rRNA from 1 species